rnacentral:tRNA from 1 species
ACCAGACUGGCUCAGUCAGUAGAGCAUGUGGCUCUGAAUCUCAGGGUCAUGAGUUCAGGCCCCAUGUUGGGCA